GCUACCACAGAUGGGAAUAGAGCUAAUGGACAACCAUUGCUUGUCAAUGAUUAGAACAAAUAUAAAUCAAUGCUUACCCAUACGUAUUCUACAGUAUGGAUGAUUGGAGGCUUUGCCUUUAUUAUUUAUAUGGGUCAUCUAUAUAUCUGGGCUAUGGUGGUUGUGAUUCAAAUAUACAUGGCAAGAGAACUUUUCAACUUACUCAGAAAAUCCAGUGAAGAGAAACAACUGCCAGGGUUCAGGGUCCUGAAUUGAUCUAGAUGCCAACCAUUACACAUGAUUCGAUUCUAGAAGAUCCUGAUGGUGACACCUCACAACACAACACAUCUCGGACUACUACCAUGUCAGUCUCAAGAAUGUGAUGAUAACAUGACCAUUCAAAUUGGUGAAGUACUUCAGAUGCAAAUUGAGGUUCAGAGAUAGUUAAAUGAACAACUUGAGAAAUGGUCAUUUGUUAAAUCUGAGCAGAAAAGAUCGGAAAUCCAAGGGCUUAUGGAAUUGGUAUUGCAAAGAUCUUCAUGUGAUUCAGAUCCUUAUAAGGAAAGAUAAUUUAUAUACAUGAGGGAGCCACCUAUUGAUUCUUUUGAUGUCUCUACAUAUGGUAAUAGUUUCAUCUGAGAUUGUCUCUACCUACUAUAUAUGCAGCUUGUUUACUAAAAAAGUUCUAUUUCUCAAAUUACUAACUACUUGAUUCUUUACUGCUAGGCCUUAAUUUGCUGGAUGACAUCUUGUUGGGUUAUAAAGCUGAAUAGCCAAUGAAUAUUGGCAUUACAGUAGACGCAUUGAAAAUAUAUGCUAAAAUAUUAUGAAUGUUAUUUACCGCAUUUGCUGCGGAGGAAGCCGGCAGCGCGGCUAUUGUAACACCCCUGGUGUUACUGGAAACUAAAACUUGGCAUGACAUCAUAUGCAUUGGCAUCUUUGUAUUGUAACACACUUAGAAUGCAUUCACUAGGACCAAGAAAAACUCAAAAGGAGAUGUGGUGAUGGAUAGAGUGAAAAACCUAGUUUGAAAAACUCUAGUUUUGAGCUCAAAAGUGGAAUCUGAGAUCUGGCCAUAAUUUGCCAAAAAUCAAAAUACCAAAGUUGUAGAGUUUCCAAAACCAAACAAUUUUCGUGUGUUGAGAUUUUCAAGUUUUGAAGGGAAAUUUGGAGUAAUUUGCAGAUUUCAGAUUUAAUACAGUUUUGGUUCAACUAAAAACAGUUUUCUUUACCUAUUUCUGGACCCCUAUAUGUUUUAAUCUGGGGGCUUUUGGCAAAAGGUUUCUAUAGUAAACUUGUAGAGUAACCAUAGGAGAACAACUUUUAUUAAGUAUUAAAGCUCUAAAUCUAUAUGGAACUGGUAGAAAAAGGAGCCUAAAGAUGCAGUGUUCAGUUUGGAAAAUCAGACUUAGAAAUUCAGUCCUGCUGAUUUUUCAGUCUGAAGCAGAUUUGGGAUACUCCUUAAGGGCUGAUCCAUGUAAUUCUGGGCUAUGAGUGCUGUACCAAAGUGGAAGCCCCUACUUUGAUGUGCAGAUUUGAUUCAGGGUAAUGCCACUAAAACCAGUUGGAACAGACAGUAACAGUAGUCCAAAGAUUUAAUGUGCUAAAUCUGAAUUCAGACUUAGUUAUAAUUCUGGGUUCUAAACUUUUAUGCCUAAGCCAACUUCGAAGCCCUUUUAUUAUUCAGUCUAUUGGGCUUUAGCUUAGGACCAUUAUAUCAAAAUGGUAGAGGAUUUAUCAGUGUGCAACUUUGUUUAAGGAAGAUGGACUUGGUACUCUAUAAAAACUGGAGUAAAUAAUGCUGAAAGAUAGGCUGUCAGACUUCUAAAGCUUCAGAUGAGGAAUAGUGUGCUGGUCUGAAUUUCAGUCAUUUGGCUCAGCUUUGGAGCUGUAUGGUGUCUUUUCUAGGCAGUUUUGAGCUGAGAUCUUUAUAACAAAACUGGAGAUCAUCUAUAAAUGAACAAAUUCCUUUAAGUAAGUUGGGUUUGAUCCAACACAAAAAGGAAAGGGAAAGCUGUCUCAAAGUCAUCCUGUCAGUUUGUGCAUUCAGAGUUUAUUUCAGCUAACUGAAAUUAUGGCUCCAAUGAAAUGUGCCUCACUUUGGAUUAGUAUAAAUUAAAAUUUGUGCAGAUCGAUCUUAGAAGUUUACAUCAAAGGUAAAGACCAAUAUUUUGUGAGUAAGUUUGAUGUGCCAAGGUAGCUCUGUUUGUGUGGAGAAAUUUGAGAAAUAGAGGGAUGGAUCUGCUUCUGCAGUAGACUGAAGAAGUUCAGGGCAGUUAAGUGCAGUCUGAAAGCAGCAGAAAUAUUUCCAUUCACUAGUUUUUCUAAGGAAUUCUGGGGUGAUCAUAUUGGAUAUUUUGUUGUCCAGGGGAGGGGGAAACGAUGCAGAAUUAAAAUUCAUCUAGAAGCUGGUGACUCAGCUGUUGGUUUGCUGUGCUGUCAGUAAAUGGAGCCCCAUUCUGUUACCCUCUCUGCUCGGCGUGUAAAAAUCUGCUUCAACCAGUCCCUGUGCUUGGGGGUCACAUGGACGAUUUUUACAGACCAAGGGGGGAAAGGUUUUGGAUUGAAUCAACCUGCAGCCUAGCAGCAAUGACUCACCUGCUUGUAUUGUGCUGGUUUGCUGUCCAUGGGAGACUUUACCACCUCUGCAGUGUCCCUGUACAUCUACCCUUACGUGGUGGUCAUGCAUAGUAUUAUGGUCAUGUUGGCACCAGUUAUUCUCCCUGAAAGCCUAAAUGAAGUCUCAACCAAGCCGUUAACUCCGGUGCCCUCUCAUAGUGUAACAAAGUUCAACGCAUGAACUCCCUCAUGUUUCGGCUGUCCCCAUAGACUCUUCACCAUAUCAUACCGUUCCUCUACACUUAAAUUACUUCCUGGAUGUUUUCUCAACCCCUUGGCUCCGUUGCUUUAACUGAACCACAAAGUUCUGGGCGUGUGUGGUGACCACCACCACAAAAUUCCCCAUCUCCUAGUGGCCGGUCUUUUCUGGAAGGUAAUAUGCUCGAUUUGCUUACGUUUCUUAGUACAUGUAUGAUGGGUUGUCGUCGUCUGAGAAGGUCGUCAAUGGCCAGUCUUAGCGGCUGCACCCAGGUGUUCGACCUGGGACCGCUAGGGUCACGGCCAGGGACGAUACUUUGUGAAAGCAGAGAAACCUAGGGUUCUCAAUGCGAUUGUCAGUGAGAAGGGGAAAUAAUGCUUGACCUAUUAACAAGUUAACUGAAUCGACAGGCGCCUUUGCGCAAUAAUACCAGCGCAGGGCAGAUUUCUCUGCGUUCGUGGGCCAAGCAGUUGGUUUCGGCCUAGACACUAUUGCAGUUUUUCCUUUUUCUUUUAGUUGACAACUUGUAAAAUGCACCAGAAAACGUAGAAAAAUGUAAAAAUUGUGAAACCAAUUUUGUUGAAUCCGCAAAAUUUUGUAGUUUCUGCUGAGAACAGUUUUAGGAUUUUUGUAGCAAUAAUUCAAUUUUUGGGUAAUUAAAAGUGCCUCUGGAAUGUAUAAAUGAAUUUUAGAAAUAAAACCAGCGCACCAAAAAUUGUGAAAAUUUGCAGAAAAGUUAUAUACCCUUAGAAUAGCUCCUGGUAGAAAUUUGCGUAUGUUUAGGUUUGAUUUACUUAGAAAACCAGAAACUAGUUUAGUAAACUUUAAUCUAUUUAGUUCUCUAAUUGUUUAAAGUAAGUUUAAUUUGAUAAUUUUGGGCCACUAUUAAGAGACCUAGAACCAUGUGUAUAAUCAAUGUAUGCUUAGUUAAAAGUAUUUAAACUUUUCUACCUCUCCCCAAGCGAGAGUUUGCAUAGCAUAUCAUUACAUAAGCAUUCAUAUACUUCGAAUUGACUUGUAAAGCACCUUGAAGAAGAAUUUGAAGUUGAAGUAGAAGGGGAGUCUGUUCCUCCAUCUGAAACUUCUCCAACUGAGGUUGUCGCUGAAGGUCCUCCAGAGGGUGUCCCAUUUGGAUUUGCUGCUAACUGCAAUAUCCUGGUAGAAGAGCCCGACUCUCCUCCUCACCAAGGCAAGCCCCGGUGCAUUUGCCACCUCCUUGCUGUUUUAAAAACAUUUUAUCACUUAUAUGCUGCAUUAGGUGGUAGGAGUUGAAUGGGUAAACCUUUGCUGCAUAACUUCCUUGAAUUAUUGAUUAUCAUCCUUGAUACCUGAUUUGAAAAGCUAGAUAUGCUUAGCCUGCUUAUAGACAAGGAACAAAAUAUUUUGAUGUAUGAA